rnacentral:rRNA from 1 species
CCCUGUUCACGGCCGCGGUAUCCUAACCGUGCGAAGGUAGCGUAAUCACUUGUUCUCUAAUUGUGGACUAGUAUGAACGGCACCACGAAGGUUAUACUGUCUCCUUUUUCUGAUCAGUGAAACUAAUCUCCCCGUGAAGAAGCGAGGAUGAAAAUAUAAGACGAGAAGACCCUAUGGAGCUUUAAACAAUGUAGCAAUUACCAUAUAAUUUAAAAUUUUCUGAAUCUUUAAUAUAUUUAAAGGUAAUAUGACUGUAAGUUUUUGGUUGGGGUGACCGCGGAGCAUAACAUAACCUCCAUGUUGAAAAAUUUUUAAGCUAAGACCCACCCGUCUAGGCAUCAAUUUAUUGACAUCCAUUGACCCAAUAUAUUUGACCAACGAACCAAGUUACCCUAGGGAUAACAGCGCAAUCCACUUCAAGAGCUCCUAUCGACAAGUGGGUUUACGACCUCGAUGUUGGAUCAGGGUAUCCUAGUGGUGCAGCCGCUACUAAAGGUUCGUUUGUUCAACGAUUAAAACCCUACGUGAUCUGAGUU